AUGUAAUGUAAUGCCUACAACAUUAAUGCACUAGAUACCAUUAGAAAUUUAUAGUUAAUAAUUAUUGGGAUAGAGUAAUAUUAUGAUGGGUGACUUCCUAGGAAGUCCUAGUGUUUUACAUG
rfam:Picea glauca, whole genome shotgun sequence.